AAUCUGUGUUGUAGGCACCUUCGUAAAAGAUCCUUGAAGCACUCCCAUGUCUCAAACAAUAACUCAAGAUCCAUACUGCUACAAAUGACGAUAUCUCAUUACAAAGCUU